UACAGAGGUCUCAAGCGUUGUUCGGAUUCAUUGGGCGUAAAGGGUGCGUAGGCGGCGCGGUAAGUCAGGGGUGAAAUCCUGGAGCUCAACUCCAGAACUGCCUUUGAUACUGGCGAUCUCGAGUCCGGGAGAGGUGAGUGGAACUGCGAGUGUAGAGGUGAAAUUCGUAGAUAUUCGCAAGAACACCAGUGGCGAAGGCGGCUCACUGGCCCGGUACUGACGCUGAGGUGCGAAAGCGUGGGGAGCAAACAGG
rnacentral:rRNA from 1 species